CAACCACCACCAUUGUUAAGCCUCCUCCACCAGUUCAAAGCUUUAUGUUUUUGAAGCUUUGGUGCAGUGGGUGAAGGAAUGUCGAUGGGGAAUGAGAGCACUUGGGUGGGGAAGAAGCCUCUGAGACGCAUCGGAGGAAUGCCCGAUGCUCUCUCUAUUGCUUCCGAUCUUGGCUUCUCAGUCGCCGCUGCACCUACUCCGGAAGUACUUCAGAACUGGUCGAGUACUGGUGAGAAAGGUGAUGACUUGAUAAGAGUUCUCAGGGAACUUACCACUGUGCAAAGGAAAAUAGCAGAUCUCCAAGUUGAACUUCAAGGCAGAAAGGAUGACAAGAAUGUUUCACAUUUGACACACGUGAGCGAAAUGGAGAUGAAGUGCGAAACUCUAUCAAGGAUAACUACAAUAUUAAACGAUGUCAUUCAGAACAAGGAUCGUAUCAUUGCUCGUCUCCAACAACCAUAUUCACUAGAUUGCAUUCCAGUCGAAGCAGAAUAUCAGAAACAAUUCUCUGAAUUACUGAUGAAGGCUGCUAGUGAUUAUGGAGCAUUAACAACAUCAUUUGCCGAUUUCCAGUGGAGCCAAACAUUUAAGGAGCCUCCUUCAGUAUGGGGGGAAAUGCUUCGUCCAAUUCCUGUUGCCUUAGCAUCAUGCACCCGGUUUUUUGAAGCAAUGUCUGCUAUGAGGGAGUCGUUUGCAACACUUCAACAACUCAGAGUAGGUCAUUCUGAUACCCCUCAACCUAUCACACCAGCCAAGGAUUCUAGAAGAGUACCAGGGAUUUCCGAUUGUGUAACUCCAACUCCUUGGAAAACUGAACCUAGUAUUGAUGACCUGGCUAUUAAAAGCUCAAGUAGGCUAGAUAUCAAGCAUCAAGAAGCAGAGGAUGAAAGUGAGCUGGACAGCUCUAACCAUAGGAGAUUGUCAUGGCCCCCUUCAGUUAAAAAGGCUGCUACUUAAAAGCUGACUCAUCUUGUGAACCAUUAUAUGUUUGUUUUGAUGUACAAUAUAGGUCAUAUAUCGCAGCAGCCUCGGGUAUACCUGUUCAAUAAUCAGCUUUCGGUUUGGUCCCCGCUUCAAUCGGUAACUGUCAUCUUCUUCAAACUCGUGAUUUGAGCAACAAUGCACUUAAUGGUUCUAUUCCUAGUCUUGCAAACUCCACUAGGUUGUUUAGG